AGGGUAAAGAUCUUGGGAACAGGAGCCUUUGGCACUGUUUACAAGGGAGUCUGGGUUCCAGAAGGGGAAACGGUGAAGAUUCCAGUGGCUAUAAAGAUACUCAAUGAAAGCACAGGACCUAAAGCCAAUGUGGAGAUUAUGGAUGAAGCACUGAUCAUGGCCAGCAUGGAGCAUCCUCAUCUGGUCCAUCUUUUGGGGGUCUGCUUGAGUCCCACUAUUCAGCUGGUAACUCAGCUCAUGCCCCACGGCUGCCUGCUGGACUACGUACAUGAACACCAGGAGAACAUCGGCUCCCAGCUGCUGCUCAACUGGUGCGUGCAGAUUG